ensembl:lncRNA
GUAAUGAGUCUCUUAUUACAAGAAGCAACAUGGAGAUACCCAAACAUUCUGAUAAUUAUCUCCCAGCAUACUUGAGGUUUCAUUUUUAAGUGUCUGAGGUCAUAACCAGAGACAGCCAAGGAUCUGCAGGAUGUUUGACUUGAUUUUACACAGUAUAACAGUGCAUUUGCAUUCUGACCAUUUUGACUACACAGCUCCCAAAUGAUUAGGUCCUUAUCUUUAUAAACUUGUGACAGGAUAAUAAGCUUGAAGACCUGCUAUAGUUAGAUGUAGGCUUUACAUCCUCUUCCCUUGUACCACUUGGCUGGCCAAAGGCACAACACAAAUAUCCUGUUUAGACUCCAGAACAAGCACAUAUUGCCAUCAGGAUUAAGACUUUAUCUAGAUGCCCCCAGAGUUGCCUUUAAUGUAGCUGGUUUAGAGUAUCAGUAGAUUUCAGGUAUAGUUAAACACACAGGUAUGGUGCCUGCAUAUUUUUUAAACCAUAGUUUGUGGCACCUGCUCCUCCAAUUCUGCCUAUUAGAAGCUAUGUAUUUGGAGGGGGUGAAUCAGUGCAGAGUAAAUAAAUCAACACUUUUCCAAGCAGAGGAUCAAUCCAGAUUUGCAUGUUUGUUUGUUUGUUUUAAACAACUCUAAGCCGUGCCAGUAUGAUAUGAAAAUGUGGGUGGAUUCAAAUGUUCCCAGAUUGGAUAUGGGGAAAAUGUAGCAAUAAAAUAAGCCUGACUUACAAUCUUUGCUAUGAUAAAUAGUGAAAUCUAAGCUAUGUGCUGUCCAUAGUGUCAGUGCUGUGGCUGAUUUGAUCAAAACUCAUCUUUGGACUCAGCAGUUACUUGAAACGUCAAAAAUAAGAAAGGAGCUCUCCAGUGCUGAAAACUCACGUUUGGUUUGUAGUGUCACUGUUGUGUCUCCAAGCUCAGUGAGAGAAGAUGGUGGUGGUUGCACGCCAGGCUUCUGGACCCGAGGCCUCACGGGCCCCCAGUAUUGCUGUCAACUGCCUGUACUACACCUUUCCUUUUCUUCAUCUGGCGCGCUCCACUUUGCUGCUCCUGCCCAAGAUCUGGGUUAUGACACUGAAUAUGGUGAGUGGGAGUGUGACCAGUAUUUGCAGUUUGUGUGUGUCUGUUUGUUUUCUUUGUUACAGAAGAAUUUUUAUAGGUUGGGCCUGUCCCCAAGCUCUUUAAAUUGGAUUGCACUUCCCAUUAUUUUUUGAGCUGUGUCUGUUUUGUUGUACUUCCGAGUCUGUGUGUAGAAAGAGAUAGUGUUUGUUUAACCUGGAAAAGCUGCUGGCCUUUCACAACUUCUCUGAAGGUCGAGCCAUUUCCUAAUGCAAAUUCUGGACCUAACUCUGGUCCUGACAGUUCAUUUUUUGAGAAACUUGAGUCUGAAUGUUUUGAGUCCCAGGAAUCUUUGACGUCAGGUGGAGUUACUUUCGUGAGUACGUUUGCUUUUCCCUCCAGAUGGACCCAGUUCUUAACCAUGGUACAUUUGCAUAACACCUCCACCAAAGGAUGAGAAAAUGAUGGGAAAAGAAAGAAGAACUGGUUGCUCAUUUUGUUGUUUCUCCCAGCUUUGCCCCAAAUCCCCAACCUGCUGAAUCUUAAUCUUUGCUGAAGGUGCUGGGAAUCUAAAUUUUAAUAUGUGCUCCAGGUGAUUCUGAUGUGGAUAAUUAGCCAGCCAUACUUUGAGAACCAUUGCCUUAUCUAUUCUUCACAAAAAAAAAUGCCCAUUAGCCAAUGGGUAAUGUGGACAUUAACCACAGGAUCAGAUUCCCCUGCUGCUUGCCUCCCAUAGUGGUCCCCUUUGCAUCCUCUUCAUUAUAUUUAUUUAUGUAUGCAUCUUUUUUCCCCACUAGACUGUGAGCUCCUUGAGGGCCAGGGUUUAUCUUCAUUCACAGUGCCAAGGAUAUGGCCUAGAACAUAGAAGAUGCUCAGUUGUUUGUUGAAUAAAUAAAUGACAUGGAUUUUAGCCAAAACGUUAUCUUGUUGUGUGUGCCUGUAUUUAAAUGCUCUGAAUUUAGGAGAAUCUCUUAACACACAUAGAUCAAGAACUUAC